rnacentral:rRNA from 1 species
GCUCAGUAACACGUGGACAACGUACCCUAAAGUGGAGCAUAAUCUCGGGAAACUGAGGAUAAUUCUCCAUAGACCAUGAGAUCUGGAAUGACUUAUGGUUCAAAGUUCCGGCGCUUUAGGAUCGGUCUGCGGCCUAUCAGGUAGUAGUGGGUGUAACGUACCCCCUAGCCGUUGACGGGUAUGGGCCUUGAGAGAGGGAGCCCAGAGUUGGAUUCUGAGACACGAAUCCAGGCCCUACGGGGCGCAGCAGUCGCGAAAACUUCACAAUGGGCGAAAGCCCGAUGAGGGAAUUCCUAGUGCUAGCACUUUUGUGCUAGCUUUUCUUCAGCGUAGAUAACUGGAGGAAUAAGGGCUGGGUAAGACGGGUGCCAGCCGCCGCGGUAAUACCCGCAGCCCGAGUGGUGGUCGAUUUUAUUGAGUCUAAAACGUUCGUAGCCGGUCUAAUAAAUCCUUGGGUAAAUCGGAAGGCUUAACUUUCCGAAUUCCGAGGAGACUGUUAGGCUUGGGAUCGGGAGAGGUAAGAGGUACUUCAGGGGUAGGGGUAAAAUCCUGUAAUCCUUGGAGGACCACCGGUGGCGAAGGCGUCUUACUAGAACGAAUCCGACGGUGAGGGACGAAGCCCUAGGUCGCAAACGGGAUUAGAUACCCCGGUAGUCUAGGGUGUAAACGCUGCAGACUUGGUGUUGGGGGCCCUUCGGGGGCAUUCAGUGCCGGAGAGAAGUUGUUAAGUCUGCUACUUGGGGAGUACGU